rnacentral:lncRNA from 1 species
UAUUUACGAAAAACCAUUCUAAUAUGACGUGCUUCUUCAGCUUUGUAAACAACACUGUGAUAAAAUUCUCGAUAAAAUAUACUUAGCGCAGACUCAGAGAUAUACAUAAUAAUGGCUGUUACAAUAUACUUCCCACGUAAAUCUACAUGUAUUGGAACCUAUUUGCAGACCCUCUGCCGAUUUUAUUGUUUUAAAAAGGGCAAUUAAAAAAAGACAAAAUAACUUGUUUUCUUAUUCGUAUGCAUAAUAAAAAGAAGUAAUGC